GGCGCUGUAGCUUAGCUGGUCAAAGCAUCUGUCUCGUAAACAGGACAGCCUGGGUUCAAAUCCCAGCAGUGCCU